rnacentral:rRNA from 1 species
UUGGCGGACGGGUGAGAAACGCGUGGGAAUAUGCCCUUUGGUACGGAAUAGUCCUGGGAAACUGGGGGUAAUACCGUAUGCGCCCUUCGGGGGAAAGAUUUAUCGCCAAAGGAUUAGCCCGCGUUGGAUUAGGUAGUUGGUGGGGUAAUGGCCUACCAAGCCGACGAUCCAUAGCUGGUUUGAGAGGAUGAUCAGCCACACUGGGACUGAGACACGGCCCAGACUCCUACGGGAGGCAGCAGUGGGGAAUCUUAGACAAUGGGGGCAACCCUGAUCUAGCCAUGCCGCGUGAGUGAUGAAGGCCCUAGGGUUGUAAAGCUCUUUCAGCUGGGAAGAUAAUGACGGUACCAGCAGAAGAAGCCCCGGCUAACUCCGUGCCAGCAGCCGCGGUAAU